CUGCUCACUUCAGCAGCACAUAUACUCAGAGUAGAAUGAUAGAGAUAAUUAGCAUGGCGCCUGUGCAAGGAUGACAAGCAAAUUCAUGAAGCCUUCCAUAUUUUU
rnacentral:snRNA from 1 species